GUCCUUUUCUUCCCAAUGUCCAAGGACGAUCAGCAGCAGAGAGGAUGCAGCUCUGUCUCUAUUGAAGGAAGUUUCCUCCCCAGGGGUUCUCUGCAGAGAUGAAAUCACAAAUCUAAUUUUUGAAAAACCAAUGUUCCGUUAAGAAAUGACAAAUAUGAGUCAUCCGGAGAAACAUGGGAAGACUUGUAGGAAGUGAUUCAGAGUGAAGAAAGCAGAACCAAGAGAAGGCGACGAUUCUAGCCAGAUCAACAACGACAGCAGGGGGGAAACCAGGGUCUGACUUGCAGUAAUAGGAAGGAACUUAGCCUGAAAUCUAACCAGAGGAGCCUGGCUUAACACCACAAAAGGGGGCCCCUGAGACAGAGCCUUCCAAAGCCAGAACCCGAUUAAGGAUCCCCAACUUUAUUCUGAGAAGACCCUAUUUAUUUUGGACGUUGAAUGCCUGGAUGAUGCCGAGGACUCGGUGUCGAUACCGUUCUUUCUUGGGUCUCCGUGGGCUCCUGAGGAGGUUGGGCCUGAAGCACCUGAGAGGAAGUUAUCCAGUGGCAUCCCCCAAAGGAUGGUUUCCCAGAAUGGGCUGGAAAAGCUGCAUAGGUGGUCGAGGGAGGAAGGGGAGCCUGGGUUAUCUCCACCAAGGUCUGAGAGGAAGAGGACUAGACGGGGUACGUAGGAGACUGGUCUACAGACGACCAUCGUUUCCAGAAUGCUUGGUUUCAGUGGUCACAGAAUCUUUGAAGAUUUGGAUUGGAAGGAAUCUUAGAGAUCAUCAGCUCAUGGGAUCUCAGCUUCUGGACUGAAAGGACUCCUUAGAGAUUCUCUACAACCCCUUCAUUUUGUAAGGAGGGAAAAUGGAAGCCCAGAUUAGAGAAAGGGUCAUAACAUGAGUUCAUGGCAAAGAUGGGGCUCCUGGUUUCCAGCUUAGUACUUUCCUGUCAUCUCUUAUAUUUACAUUUAUUUCAUAAGGUCGUAAAGCCGGAAGGGACCUCCC
rnacentral:lncRNA from 1 species